rnacentral:rRNA from 1 species
AGCGAACGCUGGCGGCAUGCCUAACACAUGCAAGUCGAACGAAGGCUUCGGCCUUAGUGGCGCACGGGUGCGUAACGCGUGGGAAUCUGCCCCUCGGUUCGGAAUAACAGUUAGAAAUGACUGCUAAUACCGGAUGAUGACUUCGGUCCAAAGAUUUAUCGCCGAGGGAUGAGCCCGCGUAAGAUUAGGUAGUUGGUGGGGUAAAGGCCUACCAAGCCGACGAUCUUUAGCUGGUCUGAGAGGAUGAUCAGCCACACUGGGACUGAGACACGGCCCAGACUCCUAAGGGAGGCAGCAGUGGGGAAUAUUGGACAAUGGGCGAAAGCCUGAUCCAGCAAUGCCGCGUGAGGGAUGAAGGCCUUAGGGUUGUAAAGCUCUUUUACCAGGGAUGAUAAUGACAGUACCUGGAGAAUAAGCACCGGCUAACUACGUGCCAGCCGCCGCCGUAA